rnacentral:rRNA from 1 species
CCUACGGGCGGCAGCAGUAGGGAAUCUUCCACAAUGGGCGCAAGCCUGAUGGAGCAACACCGCGUGAGUGAAGAAGGGUUUCGGCUCGUAAAGCUCUGUUGGUGGAGAAGAACGUGCGUGAGAGUAACUGUUCACGCAGUGACGGUAUCCAACCAGAAAGUCACGGCUAACUACGUGCCAGCAGCCGCGGUAAUACGUAGGUGGCAAGCGUUAUCCGGAUUUAUUGGGCGUAAAGCGAGCGCAGGCGGUUGCUUAGGUAUGAUGUGAAAGCCUUCGGCUUAACCGAAGAAGUGCAUCGGAAACCUGGCAACUUGAGUGCAGAAGAGGACAGUUGAACUCCAUGUGUAGCGGUGGAAUGCGUAGAUAUAUGGAAGAACACCAGUGGCGAAGGCGGCUGUCUGGUCUGCAACUGACGCUGAGGCUCGAAAGCAUGGGUAGCGAACAGGAUUAGAUACCCUUGUAGUC